rnacentral:rRNA from 1 species
GUCUAUAGUCAUACCACCCUGAACGUGUUCUAUCUUGUCUGAUCUGAGAAGCUAAGCAGGGUCGGGCCUGGUUAGUACUUGGAUGGGAUGGGAAAAAUGUUGUGGAUAGGCC